AUGCUGCUAACAGAAGUGGAAAUAGCCCAGCACAAGGACAAGUCCAAACCUGAGUAGCAGCUGGUGGCAUGGAACUUCCACAGCUUCCCCAUCCCAGGCAUUUUCUUCAGGGAUAUCUUGACCCUCUUGAAGGACCUGGACUCCCUUCCAUAACUCAGGAGCUGGGUGUAGGCUGUGUGCUUAUUCUGAAGUGUGGGGAGCAGCUGGGGCCCAUUGUGUCAACCUCCUCUGCUCUUGAGUAUGGGAAGGCUGAUCUGGAAAUCCAGAAAGAGGCCUUAGAAGCCAGGCAGAAAGUGAUCAUUGUGGGUGAUCACCUGACCCCUGGAAGAACCAUGUGGACAGCCUGUAAGCUGCUGGGCCAGGUACAGGUUGAGGUGGUGGAGUGUGUGAGACUGAUGGAGCUGACCUCCCUGAAGAUCAGGAAAAAGCUAGGACCAGUACCAUUCUUCUCUCCUGCAGUAUGAGUGUGGAGCUGGCAACUUAGCCACAUCUCUCUUCCCAGCAGCAUCAGUAACUAUCUGCACAGUGGCUUAG